rnacentral:rRNA from 1 species
GACGAACGCUGGCGGCGUGCUUAACACAUGCAAGUCGAGCGGUAAGGCCUUUCGGGGUACACGAGCGGCGAACGGGUGAGUAACACGUGGGUGAUCUGCCCUGCACUUCGGGAUAAGCCUGGGAAACUGGGUCUAAUACCGGAUAUGACCUCCUAUCGCAUGGUGGGUGGUGGAAAGAUUUAUCGGUGCAGGAUGGGCCCGCGGCCUAUCAGCUUGUUGGUGGGGUAAUGGCCUACCAAGGCGACGACGGGUAGCCGACCUGAGAGGGUGACCGGCCACACUGGGACUGAGACACGGCCCAGACUCCUACGGGAGGCUG